GGGGGGGAGAGACAGGUACGCGGUGCCUUUCGGAGGCUUGCAGAGCAGCUGAGAGGGGUUAAGGAUGAGUUGAGAAGGGAAGCUAGCGUGGAGGGAUUAAAUGUCAUCAUUUUGGCGUUGGGAAGUUGUUUACCUUGCUCUCUCCGUGUCUCCAUGUUGGCAGCCUUCCAGCUCACAUGUGAUAGUCUUCCCUGUACUGCUGCAUCAUUAACUAAGUGGCUGAGCUUGCACACCAUUGGCUGGGGUGGGCUCUGAGUCUAAACACUCGAUCCUAUUGGAGGAAGGGGUGAUGGCAGGUGAAAACCUCUCCAGGAUUGGCCAAGGACAGGGUGUCAAAUCUAAAUGUCGAUUUCACUUGCUUCAAAGUGCUGGGAACUGCUUUGUGACUACAAUCUCAGCUGGGUUUUCUUUCUGUUUUUUCAAAGCCAGGCGUUUGGAAAGUUCUCUCUGCCUUUGGCACUACGUCACUUUGCCCAAAGCAAAAGAGAAACGCAGCAAAUUCCCUGGCGUGGCCUGCGCAGGUCGUGGUGGGUGCAAAUAAAUCACCCGGAGUGUGAAUGGCGUCGGUGACAGAGUGCUCCGCAGGGAAGAGGUUGGGUCCGCCCAGGUGUUUGGCAGAUGCUGCUCAGCUCCCCGGCUCGAGAAGUCCCCGGAUCGUGCGGUGCCUCGCGCUCUCGCGCAGCAAGGAGCUUUCUGCCCUGAGCCUCCAGUCACGUAGAGGCUCCAGCAAGUUCAAGGAUAAGGGGGCGGACGCUGUUCAGGUAUUACUCAUUUGCCGGGAGCUCGAGAGUCGAGUACGGUCAUUUAGCAACAACUGUCAUGGUUCUAACCGGAGCGAACGCGGCGUGUUCUCGGCCUGGGUCGCUUUUAAUGGCUGUUUGUCUCCGAAAAGCGUAUCCCGAGAUACGCGUCGUAUUCCCGCAGGCACCCAGUGCCAGACCCGAUUUCAUCAGGCCGUGUAGGGCUGCUCGAAGCCCUGGGGCAGGAAAGCAGAAGGGAGGAAGCCAUUUCCCAAAGGGAGAUCCAAGGGUGGAGAGCGCGCAGGCGCUCUCCGGAGGGGUAAAAAGCGCCUCCUUGUCCCUCCUCCCAUCCUCGCACCUUUUCCUGCCUCCCUCGCCUCCCCUUGCCUGCCGAGCUCCACCGCGCAUCGAGAAUCCCCCUUGCAGGUGUCACCGACCCUCCUGAGUCACUCGGCCCUCGCCCGUGGAGCUGACUCCCGCAGAGCUUCCGCGCUUCCUGCGGUGCUAGAUCCGCAGAGGAGGAGGAACAGCAGCCGCAACGGCAGUCCCUGCAGCGAGGCCGAUGGACAUACACGCACGCCUGCCGGCGGUGCUGCAUAACUGCGCUUACAUGCCGAUAAGCCAGCAGCAGAGAGACCCGUGCAGAGCCAGCAGCCGGACCGAGAGCCGACGCUCAGGUGCUCGGGAGCGCGGGUUACCUGCCUGCCCAAGCAAGCCACAGGCUUUGAAGCAAUCGCCACGGCUACCGAUGCAUCUCGGGAAGGUGAAGCUAGCCGUUGCCAGCCGUGGCGGAAAGCUACUGGUGGGAAGGGAGGCUUGGCGAGGCACAGGAAUACUUAUCUGCCUCUGACUUUAAAGGACACAAAGUGGAAAAAAAGCCCCAGGAACGUUCACAAUUGUGAGAAGUAAGAAGGGCCAGAGGUAAAACAACUUCACAUUUGUGUCCAGUUCCUGGAAAGCCUUGGUGCCCAGGUCUGUGCCUUGAAUCAUUAUUAUAGAUACGUGCACAACGGGGAGUGUGAAGCACCGCGUUGUAGUGGUGCAAGUGACUGCAAAUGUUGCAGGGCAAAGUAAACCAGCCAAACCACCCCCAAAAAACAAAACGCACACGAGCGCGUGCACGCACACACACACACACGCACACACAGAGCCAGUUCAAGCUUCCUGAGCAGGAAGUCUGAGGCUAAAUAGACCUGAUGAUAUUUAGAAGUGGUGAGAAAGGUCAUUUUAUUGUGCGCUGUAAAAACAUGCAAUUCCGUGUCUUAGUGUUUGCCUCUGGUAAUUAUGCUGUUCUGUUAAUAAUUCACUAGAAGCAUUAUCUAGUUCCCAUUUUAGAGCACAAGAGUUAGGGUGUUACCACGAGUUCCUGCUUCCAACAGUGGCUUUCAGCUUACAAUUUGGUACAUGUUUUUGAUUUUUUAUCAGAAAUUGGUUUCUGAAGUGGUCACUUGACAAUCUCAGGGGAAUUGGAUUAGCCCAUUUUAAGAAGAACCUUUUUCUUUCCCCCCCCCACAAAAAACAAAACAAAACAAAACUGUGACAGGGAAAGCCUGUAACAGUGACUGGCCAUCUUGACAGAGAUGAACAGUCGGAAACAGAUACUAGUUCACGCAGAGGGAACGGUUGCUAGGUGUGACGGUUAGUAGCUAUGAACUUAAUGAGACAUGAGUAGCGCUGUGGAGGAGGCGAGCUCACUGGAAGAAGUGAGUAGGAAAAAAAAAGGAGUAAUGCCAAGUUUCCAAAGUUUCAUGCGACUGUUUCAAUUAACCAUUUCUCCUGCAGCAAGAAACCACAAUCCUGCAGUAGCACAGUGCCAUUUCCCUUUCUUUUCAGAGAGUUUUGCUUCUGGUACUUUUUUUUCCUUUUUUGGCCCUUUGCGUCUGCAUGAAGGAGCAGAACCGGCAUGUGAUAGAAAGGGAGCGGGCAAAAGGAUCCAGCUUGCUUAGGCCACCCACUUGAACCAGAGCAUCUUUCUCCAUGCCUCAUCCCUUGUCUUGGCCCCUGUGCUGACUGCGGCUGGCAGUGACAGCCAGGUGAAGCACUGUGGUCUGGCGUUUCACAGAACCAAGUGGCCAUCCUUUCCCAAAGAGGUUUGAGGUUGGUUGGUGCCCCAAGUUUUUUGGAUGCCCAAAUUUCAGAAAGCUGAGCUCAGCUUCUCCAAACCCCACCGUAUAAAGCGUCCAAAGCCGGGCACCCAAAUAUAACAAGUGACAACUGCAAAUGCGAGCUGCUGGUCCUCACAGCCUAUUACCACGAGAAGCCGCACUGGCUUGGAUGGUGGGAGACAUUGCAUACGGUAGGUAGCAAGCUUAAAUAGCACAACAGGGCCAGAGCCUGGCUCUCGGUGGCCCAUCGGGGUUCCCAGGAUGGUCGCGAAUGCUCAGCUUGUGGACUCAGCUGCCUCAUGCUCUCUCUGUUGGCACAGGGGAGCAGGGGAGGGAGCGAACCGAGAUACGUACGCCAGGGACAGGAGUGUGCUGGGGCUGGUACAGACUAGCCCUCAGAAGCAGGCAGCCGAAACGGGCUCCCUGGUGCGACCGCUCCUUUCCAUGCCCAGAAACAAUCAGGUGCAGGGAAGAAUUUGUCUCUUGCUCUGCAAGAAUUGAGCUUGGGAUAUUCAAUUCAUUUUGCAGAGGCAGCUUCAAAUGGAAGCUGCUCUCAGUCACUAUUAACCAGGGAGCGGGGGGCUUUCAGCUAUGCUCUACUUCCCUGGCACCUCCAGCUUAUUAGGAUGUUAAUGUAAAACUGUUCAUGCUGACCAGAUGAGGUGCUUCUGAGGCUAGUGGAAAGAUCAGGGUGUGAUUUAGAGUUGGUUGUGGUGGCAUUUGUUUUAUUUUCUUAAUAAAUAGUUGACUGCCAGUCCUUGCUUCACUUGAACAUAACUCGAACAGCCUCCUGAAGAUCCCUUACAAAACCUGGCAGCAGAAUCUGCCGUUCGGGCCAAGCAUAACUGAGGUCCACAGUAUGAAACCUCAGCUCACUUCAGAACUGUAUGGCUUGGACUUGUAGGCAGCAUUUGAUACUGACCCAGUCUUUUCUUUGGCGCUUUUCUGGAUUAGCGGGCAAUAAUUUUCUGCUAGGUGAGAUGCAAAUUAUUCUUACCACCUAAAGGAUUGAAAUGGCCGUAUGUCAGGCAGCUAAUUCUGCUCAUGUAUAUGAAUCAUCAGGGACAUUGCUGACACAAAUUUAUCAUCUGAAAAGCGCUAUCCACCGGUGAUAGCUACAGUGAUGUUUUCAACCUAAAGAGAUGCAUGAAAAAAUCACCAGUUCUCAAACACAGUGUUCUUGGAGUAGGCAAAUAGGUCCUUAGCCCGAACAAAAAGCAUUUCUGUACCUAACUCCCCCUGAUUUAAGGAGGAAUGAGACACCUACAUACCUUGAAGGUCUGGAUGUUAUGGCUUAUAGUUGCAAAGAAGGUGAUAAUACGUAAAGCCUAUCUCCCAGGACAGCGUGUACUUCUUGUGAGGCUGAAAAGAUUGCAAGUCAGGAGACGUGACCCAGACACAAGGCAUGAGAAAAACCCUUUUUACAUGGCCGCUUUUGUGGCUGUAACAAAUGCAUUCAAGUAACUGGUACCAGGCAUAAGGCUGGAGGAGGGUUUCCUGCUGGUUGUGAUAUUUUCCCCAAAGAAGCAGCUUCUGGGUAUUUUUUUUAUUUUUAAAGAAAGAAAAAAAGACAGGCAGACCUGAGGAUGUGUAAUUUUUUAGAUUUGCAUUUCAGAUUCACUUGCCAUUCAGACCAAGACACAGACCUAUCACUUCCUCCUUUGUUCUGGCUCCCCUGGAAAGUCCUUCUAACAUUGUGCUGUGAUUUGCCAUGACUUUGUGCUCUGCGAUAUUAAGAUGGAAAUUCAUGCUCUGGAACCUGAAGCGCAAUUGAGAAGCCAACCCCCGCAGUGGGAAAGCUUUGCACAGUGGGCACGGCCCCAAAGAACAGUUGGCAGAACAUGCUGAGGGAUGAGGAUGAUGAAGCCUUACACAGAAGUUGCGUGCAUCAGAGUGCGACGACACAACUCCAACCGAAGCUGAAUUCAGAUUUCAGAGUUUGUGCAAGGAAGGGGAUGCGGCAAAGAUCCUGGCGUUCCAGCUGAGAGUUAAAGGUCUUAACCCUUGCCCAUGUGCAUCGUGGAAAGUGCAUGUGGCUGUCUUGAUAACCUGCAUUCAACCCUACGUGGCCUAUCCAGUCAGUCUCCGGAUGAGUGAGCAGGAAUAACUGGUAUCAGCUUUUGGGAUGAAUGCAAGUGAAGACCACGGUGGAGAGUGGGGAAUGAAGAGUUUCCCUACAGCUGCUCUUUAGACAGUCAGGGCACGUUCUGAGGACCGGUCUCUGUGUGAGCCUCUGGUGGAUGGGGAACUUCAGGAUUAACAGAGACAUGCUGAAAGGUACCGGCCCUGCUUCCAUGUGUGUGCGUGUGCAUGUGUGUGCGGUAGCUAGAUCCCAGGAUUCGUGGAGACUGCGUGGACAUGGAGGUAUUGAUCGUUGAGACUUCGCUGUGUUCUACAUAGGCACAGCUGACAGGAACAGCACAUGCUUGCCCUCGCCCCUGACGGUGCAUGAUGGAAGUGGCCAGUAUCAAAGACUUCCAGUGGAAAACCCUGGCACCUCUCCCCAGCCGCAGAGUCUACUGCUCCUUGGUGGAAGAGGGAGGUCAGGUCUUUGCCAUCGAGGGCUGCGAUGACAAUGGUGUCCCCAUGGACUGCUUCGAGGUGUGCUCCCCAGAAGCUGACCAGUGGAACUCCCUCCCUCCCAUGCCCACGGCCCGGGCUGGGGCAGCCGUGGCCACCCUGGGCAAGCGGAUCAUGGUGAUCGGAGGGGUUGGAGUGAAUCAGAUGCCCCUGAAGAUCAUGGAGAUGUACAACAUCGACGAGGGCAAGUGGAAGAAGAGGAACUCCCUGAGGGAAGCAGCGAUGGGCGUCUCGGUGACCGCGAAA